rnacentral:rRNA from 1 species
GAUGAACGCUGGCGGCGUGCCUAAUACAUGCAAGUCGAGCGAACAGACGAGGAGCUUGCUCCUCUGACGUUAUCGGCGGACGGGUUAGUAACACGUGGAUAACCUACCUAUAAGACUGGGAUAACUUCGGGAAACCGGAGCUAAUACCGGAUAAUAUAUUGAACCGCAUGGUUCAAUAGUGAAAGACGGUUUUGCUGUCACUUAUAGAUGGAUCCGCGCCGCAUUAGCUAGUUGGUAAGGUAACGGCUUACCAAGGCAACGAUGCGUAGCCGACCUGAGAGGGUGAUCGGCCACACUGGAACUGAGACACGGUCCAGACUCCUACGGGAGGCAGCAGUAGGGAAUCUUCCGCAAUGGGCGAAAGCCUGACGGAGCAACGCCGCGUGAGUGAUGAAGGUCUUCGGAUCGUAAAACUCUGUUAUUAGGGAAGAACAAAUGUGUAAGUAACUAUGCACGUCUUGACGGUACCUAAUCAGAAAGCCACGGCUAACUACGUG